rnacentral:rRNA from 1 species
ACGGCCAUACCAUGCUGAAUAUACCGGUUCUCGUUAGAUCACCGAAGUCAAGCAUCAUUGGGUGGGUGACCACCUGGGAACACCGCGU